rnacentral:rRNA from 1 species
GGUCACUGCUGGCGGGGUUCGAUUAAGCCAUGCGAUUCGAGCGGGUUGAGACCCUCGGCGGACUGCUCAGUAACACGUGGAUAACCUGGCCUAAGGCGGAAGAUAAGCCCGGGAAACUGGGGAUAAUACUCCAUAGAUUAGAGAUACUGGAAUGUUCUUUAGUCGAAAGUUCAGGCGCCUUAGGGUGGAUCUGCCGCCGAUUAGGUAGGUGUUGGGGUAACGGCCCAACAAGCCCGUAAUCGGUACGGGUUGUGGGAGCAAGAGCCCGGAGAUGGAAUCUGAGACACGAUUCCAGGCCCUACGGGGCGCAGCAGGCGCGAAAACUUUACAAUGCAGGAAACUGUGAUAAGGGAACCCCGAGUGCCCGUAUACGCGGGCUGUCCUGGUGUUUAAAAUGCAUCAGAAGAAAGGGCCGGGCAAGAACGGUGCCGGCCGCCGCGGUAAUACCGGCGGCUCGAGUGGUGGCCACUUUUAUUGGGCUUAAAGCGUUCGUAGCUGGAUUUUUAAGUCUCUUGGGAAAUCUGCAGGCUUAACCUGCAGGCGUUUAAGAGAUACUGGAAAUCUAGGAACCGGGAGAGGUAAGAGGUACUCCAGGGGUAGAAGUGAAAUUCUGUAAUCCUUGGGGGGCCACCGAUGGCGAAGGCAUCUUACCAGAACGGCUUCGACA